CCUACGGGAGGCUGCAGUGGGGAAUAUUGGACAAUGGGCGCAAGCCUGAUCCAGCCAUGCCGCGUGAGUGACGAAGGCCUUAGGGUUGUAAAGCUCUUUUGGCGGGGAAGCGGUACCCGCAGAAUAAGCUCCGGCUAACUUCGUGCCAGCAGCCGCGGUAAUACGAAGGGAGCUAGCGUUGUUCGGAAUCACUGGGCGUAAAGCGCACGUAGGCGGAUGUGUCAGUCAGGGGUGAAAUCCCGGAGCUCAACUUCGGAACUGCCCUUGAUACAGCACAUCUCGAGUCCGAGAGAGGUGAGUGGAAUUCCUAGUGUAGAGGUGAAAUUCGUAGAUAUUAGGAAGAACACCAGUGGCGAAGGCGGCUCACUGGCUCGGACUGACGCUGAGGUGCGAAGCGUGGGGAGCAACAGGAUUAGAUACCCUUGUAGUC
rnacentral:rRNA from 1 species